rnacentral:rRNA from 1 species
GUUUGAUCCUGGCUCAGAUGAACGCUGGCGGCGUGCCUAAUACAUGCAAGUCGAACGCACAGCGAAAGGUGCUUGCACCUUUCAAGUGAGUGGCGAACGGGUGAGUAACACGUGGACAACCUGCCUCAAGGCUGGGGAUAACAUUUGGAAACAGAUGCUAAUACCGAAUAAAACUCAGUGUCGCAUGACACAAAGUUAAAAGGCGCUUUGGCGUCACCUAGAGAUGGAUCCGCGGUGCAUUAGUUAGUUGGUGGGGUAAAGGCCUACCAAGACAAUGAUGCAUAGCCGAGUUGAGAGACUGAUCGGCCACAUUGGGACUGAGACACGGCCCAAACUCCUACGGGAGGCUGCAGUAGGGAAUCUUCCACAAUGGGCGAAAGCCUGAUGGAGCAACGCCGCGUGUGUGAUGAAGGCUUUCGGGUCGUAAAGCACUGUUGUAUGGGAAGAACAGCUAGAAUAGGGAAUGAUUUUAGUUUGACGGUACCAUACCAGAAAGGGACGGCUAAAUACGUGCCAGCAGCCGCGGUAAUACGUAUGUCCCGAGCGUUAUCCGGAUUUAUUGGGCGUAAAGCGAGCGCAGACGGUUGAUUAAGUCUGAUGUGAAAGCCCGGAGCUCAACUCCGGAAUGGCAUUGGAAACUGGUUAACUUGAGUGCAGUAGAGGUAAGUGGAACUCCAUGUGUAGCGGUGGAAUGCGU